rnacentral:rRNA from 1 species
AUGAGUGGCCCCCGCUCGUCGGCGGCGCCGCCGCUGGACGACGACGACCUGCUCGCCGAGAUCCUCCUCCGCCUCCCCCCGCAGCCAUCAUCCCUCCCCCGCGCCUCCACCGUCUGCAAGUUCUGGCGCAGCCUCGCCUCCGACCCCUGCUUCUCCCGCCGCUUCCGCGCGCACCACCGCCGAAACCCUCCCCUCCUCGGCUGCCUCGUCCAUGAUUUUUGCCAGGUUCGCUUCCAGCCUACCCUGGAGCGCCCCAAUCGCGUCCCGCUAUCCAGCUUCCCCGUCCCAAUCGCCGCCGGCGGCCGCUUCCGGAUCCUCGGAUGCCGCCAUGGCCUCGUACUCAUCUUGCACGACUCACAGAAGCAGCUCCUGGUGUGGGACCCCGUCACCGGUGACCAGCACAGCCUGGACAUUCCCCGGGGGUUCGCCGAGAAAACCUGGAUCCAUGCGGCGGUGCGUCGUGCUCCCAGAGAUUUCCACCAUUUCCAGGUGGUCUUGGUAGGCAACAGCGACAUUCAAAGUACACAAGCGGUAGCCUCUGUUUACUUGUCAGUGACCGGUGUAUGGGACAAUCUCGUCUCAACACCGCUUCCACCAGAGGAUUCUGGUUUUCCCACCAUGGUUUACACGGGCAUGCCUGCUGUGAUGGUUGGGGGUUCCUUUUAUUGGUUGCUUUAUGGGAAUUCACAAGGAAUCCUUGAAUUUGAUUUGGAUAAGCGGAGCCUAGCUUUAAUACCCAUUCCAGUGGGGAACGCUCGAGACAUGAGUGUAGGCAAUAUUUGGGUUAUACCGGCAGAGGGUAGUGGCCUUGGUUUCCUCUUCCUGAGAGGCUUUUGUGCCCAAUUAUGGAAGAUGAAGACCGAUUGCAAGGGUGUUUCUUCAUGGGUGCUGGGAAGAAGCAUUGAUCUCAACAAGUUACUUUCCUUGAAUUCAGAGAUGGAGAUAGGGUACCCAUCGAUAGUAGGGUUUGCCGAGGGCAAUAAUGUGGUGCUUCUAUGGAUGUCUGCCGGAGUCUUCAUGGUUCAGUUUGAAUCAUUGCAGUUCAAGAAACUUUUUGAAUCCCAUGAGUGGUGUUGCUUUUAUCCACUUGAAGGUGUCUAUACUGCAGGCACAGACAUUGGUGGUGGAAACGAUGAAGCUAAACUUUUGCACAAUACAUGA